AACGAACGCUGGCGGCAGGCCUAACACAUGCAAGUCGAACGGAUCCUUCGGGAUUAGUGGCGGACGGGUGAGUAACACGUGGGAACGUGCCCUUUGGUUCGGAACAACUCAGGGAAACUUGAGCUAAUACCGGAUGUGCCCUUCGGGGGAAAGAUUUAUCGCCAUUGGAGCGGCCCGCGUCUGAUUAGCUAGUUGGUGAGGUAAAGGCUCACCAAGGCGACGAUCAGUAGCUGGUCUGAGAGGAUGAUCAGCCACAUUGGGACUGAGACACGGCCCAAACUCCUACGGGAGGCAGCAGUGGGGAAUCUUGCGCAAUGGGCGAAAGCCUGACGCAGCCAUGCCGCGUGAAUGAUGAAGGUCUUAGGAUUGUAAAAUUCUUUCACCGGGGACGAUAAUGACGGUACCCGGAGAAGAAGCCCCGGCUAACUUCGUGCCAGCAGCCGCAGUAAUAC
rnacentral:rRNA from 1 species